rnacentral:rRNA from 1 species
CCUACGGGAGGCAGCAGUGAGGAAUAUUGGACAAUGGGCGCAAGCCUGAUCCAGCCAUGCCGCGUGCAGGAAGACGCAUCUAUGGUGUGUAAACUGCUUUUGUACGGGAAGAAACACUCCCUCGUGAGGGAGCUUGACGGUACCGUAAGAAUAAGGAUCGGCUAACUCCGUGCCAGCAGCCGCGGUAAUACGGAGGAUCCAAGCGUUAUCCGGAAUCAUUGGGUUUAAAGGGUCCGUAGGCGGUUUAAUAAGUCAGUGGUGAAAGCCCAUCGCUCAACGAUGGAACGGCCAUUGAUACUGUUAGACUUGAAUUACUAGGAAGUAACUAGAAUAUGUAGUGUAGCGGUGAAAUGCUUAGAUAUUACAUGGAAUACCAAUUGCGAAGGCAGGUUACUACUAGUGGAUUGACGCUGAUGGACGAAGACGUGGGAGGCGAACGAGGAGUUAGUAUACCCUCGGUAGUCCGUACGCCGGUAAACCGAAGUAGGAGUACUAGUCUGUUGGGUCGGCGAACGUUACGUAGUGGCGUAAGACGAAAGUAGAUAAGUUAAUCCCACCCGUCGGGGUAGGUACGGUUCGUCGAAGAAGUAGAAACGUACAAAUAGUAAAGUUAGUACGGCGUGAGACGUAGCCGAACGGACGACCGACCGAGGGGGAGGGUUAGGGGAGG